GAUGAACGCUGACAGAAUGCUUAACACAUGCAAGUCUUUGGCGAAGCUGUGCUUGCACAGCCUAGCCAAGGCGGACGGGUGAGUAACGCGUAAGGAACUUGCCCUGCAGUCAGGGAUAACAGACGGAAACGACUGAUAAGACCUGGUAAAGUCAGGCGGACUCAUGUCCAGCCUGAUGAAAAGAGAUGCUGCAGGAGAGCCUUGCGUCCUAUUAGCUUGUUGGUGGGGUAACGGCCCACCAAGGCGAUGAUAGGUAGCCGGCCUGGGAGGGUGGACGGCCACAAGGGGACUGAGAUACGGCCCUUACUCCUACGGGAGGCAGCAGUGGGGAAUAUUGGACAAUGGGGGCAACCCUGAUCCAGCAAUUCUGUGGGCACGAUGAAGGUUUUCGGAUUGUAAAGUGCUUUCAGCAGGGAAGAAAAAAUGACGGUACCUGCAGAAGAAGCGACGGCUAAAUACGUG
rnacentral:rRNA from 1 species